UCCGCUUUCGGUUUUUCGGAAUGAUUUUGGUGACGAAGAUCAGACAUCGAAGAGACGAGAGACAGAGAGGGUGAGAGAAGGUGGCGGAUGAAUGGACUUAACUGCUCUGAACCUGAGAACCCUAACGCUAACGCCCUUCCAUUUUCCCCUCCAUUUACGUUCCAGAGCUUCUCUCUUUCGCCCUCUCUUCUUCUCUUUUCCCAGGAGCCCUAAGUGCUUCGCUCCUCUACGCUCUCACUCUGAGACAGACAAUGGGAGGUCAUUGCCUGGAGGUGUAGGCGAGGCGGUUGGUGAGGCUUCCCAGAAUAAGCUUCUUCAAGUGGUCCUAGUUUCUCCGCAGAUUCCUGGAAACACAGGAUGCAUUGCGAGAACAUGUGCAGCAUCAGCAGUUGGACUACACCUGGUUGAGCCAUUAGGAUUUCAGGUGGAUGACACUAAAUUGAAGCGUGCUGGGUUGGAUUACUGGCCAUAUGUGGUUGUCAAAGUUCAUGGUUCAUGGGCAGAGUUCCGAGACUAUUUUAGGCAACAGGAUGGAGAAAAACGGUUGCUGGCUUUUACCAAGAGAGGAACAAGAAUUCAUUCUGAUUUCUCCUAUAGAAGAGGUGACUGGCUUAUAUUUGGCUCGGAAACUUGUGGGCUGCCACCUGAAGCACUGCUCGACUGCACAAAUGAAACUACUGGCGGAGGCACCAUUCGUAUUCCAAUGGUCGAAACUUACUUUCUCUCUUCUAUGGGAAAAGUGUAAAAUUAUCUGUUAAUGGAGUAACAUACAGAGUAAAAGGUACGUCAGUACUCAGUAGCCUAUGUCUGUGUGGUGCAUUAUUUUAAAACCGAAGCUGCACAUUAAGUGAGAUUGGUGUGUCUAGCAGGUAGCCAAACUGUGAGUUUUUUCCCAUUUUAAUUUUAUUAUUUAAUAAAAUAUUAAAUAAUACUUUGUUUGGGAAAAAAAUUCUCAUUUUAAGACUUAUGUAAUCUCGUAGGACCAUCCUGCGAGAUUUAAAUGGCGAGGGAAUUCAUGUGCUGAUGCGUGGUGGUCAAAUCUCGCAGGAUGGUCCUGCGAGAUUUGCAAGGACAUUUGGCAGGGGCAGGGGAGACCAUUGAUCUCAGCAGCACCGCUGUUUAAUGCCGCCUAAGGCCAGCUGCCUUCGUCACAGCAUCCCUCUCUCUCUCUCUCUCUCUCUCUCUCUCUCUCUCUCUCGCGCACAUGGCCGCGAGGAUUGUGGCCUACAUUCCAAGCUGCCAUCGCUUAUUCUUUUGGCUGCCCUGGGCUAGUCGCGGCCACCACCGCCAGCUGCUGGCUCCGUCACCUGUCAUGGCCACCAUCGCAACUCUCACAACCACCAUCGCCUACUCUUCCGCACAGGGGAAAUGUUUUAGGCUAUAUUGGAAACAUUCAAUCAAGUGUGCAGCAAACUGAAUAUGAUUUUUAGAGAUCAAUGGUCUCCCCUGCCCCUGCCAAAUUUCCACCUGAGCCAGAUAUACAUUGAUGAAAUCAUUUUUUUUUUUUUGCACUGUUUUUAGUUGCAGAGUUUAGACCUCGCCGUUGCCGCUGCCACCGCCACCAUCUUCUCCAACGUUGAAGACAGAUCGCCAUUUCCAGCUCGGCGAGACAUUCCGAUCCUACCUCUUCAUCGCUUACAGCUGCCGUCAGAUUGCUGCGGAUCUGCAAAUCUGGGAGCUCAUCUUGUCCGAUUUGUGCCAGUAACAAACUAAAUGCGUCGGGGGAGUUGGAAAAACACAUCCAUGCAAACGUCCAUCAUGCAAGAUUUAAGCAAAUCUCUUAAAUCUCGCGGGACCAUCCUGCGAGAUUUGGCCGCCACACGUCAACACACGAUUACCCUUGACCGUUUAAAUCUCGCAGGACCAUCCUGCGAGAUUACGUAAGCCUUAAAAUGAAAAUUUUUUUCCCAAACAAAGUAUUAUUUAAUAUUUUAUUAAAUAAUAAAAUUAAAAUGGGACAAAACUCCAAACUGUUAAUGUCAAAAUGGUUUUAUUAUUCGUGACAUUGUUCCUAUUAUUUUAAGAAUAUUCUUGGAAAAAAUUAUGAUAAUAAUUAGCAUUAAAUAUAGUUUUCAUAUUAUUAUUGA